CUCUCGCACUCACCGCCCCCUUUCCUCUUCCUCCUUCCUCACCUCUCUCUACCCCUCGACCGUGCUCGCCUCCCUGCCCCGCCGCCAUCCAGAUCGCUUCCGCUCGCCGUCGCCGCGUCCUCUCCUCCUCCCUGCCCUCUCGGUGCAUGCUCAGCGGGACGAGCGCGGCUCGCCGGACCUAGCCCGCAUCUCUGGCGUUGUGCGUUGUGGUUCUGGUCCGGUCGCAGGUCGCCGCCAUGGGAAAGCACGGGCUGAAUGGUACUCCCCGUCUCCCCUCUGUGCCCUCUCUCUUCCCCGACCUCUUUCUCUUCCCGCGUUCUCGAUCUUGUGCCACCACACAUCCUGGUUCUGGAUCGGGCUCAGAGAGCAUGGCUGGUGUGGUCUUCAUGCUUAGUGAGGAGGAGCAGGGGAGGGUGAGUAGGACGGGCAUGGGGAAGGAGCAGCCAGGCCGGAGCUCCGGCGUCGCUCGCGUCAUAGUGGAAUGGAGCCGACCAUCACUAUGGGCUGCAUCCCGCCAGUCAUCGUACCCCAAUCUCUGUUGCACAUCUUUGGAUUCACCAUCUUCCUCCCCUGUUUUUUUCUACCUCUUGCCCCCUGGUUCUUUAAUAUAAUUUGGAUUUGUUGUUUUAUGUUUUUACUAAACAGGACAAGUAUGGGAGCUCCAGUAAGGCCAACGUUUAGGACCAGUCCAUGUCCGAGACGACAUUUGGGAGGGUGUCCAAUUUCAUCGGAUCUUUUGCAAUGUUUCCUCAGAAGGAUGAGCCUAGAGAUAUGGAAGAUCUAAAAGCCUCUGUGAAAGAUUUUUGUUCUGCAGAAGCCAAUGAUCUGGUACACUAGGACCUUAACUUCUGGAGUGAACGACUGCGGGAAUCAAAAUACAAUAUUGAUGAGGUUCUUUCUUUACAGAAGUAGAUUACAAUAUUGAUGAAAUUAGCUCCUGGCCAUUGCAUCAUUGCAUACUUAUUGGAAUUUGAUUUGCUCAUUAAUCAUAGGUUUAAACUUUUUUAGCUCUAAUGUAUGGGAAAAUUAUUUGCAUUUCUCAUCUAUCAUAGAUAUAUUGAUAUAUUGCUCUCCUAAAAUGCAUUGUUGUCCUAAGAUGUUAUUAUAUAUGUGACAUGUUAUUGGCUGAAUAUGAUUCAUACUUUACAAACUCCUUACAACUAGAGUAGGAUCCAACGAACUGAUGGUGAAAAAUAAACUGAACACUUGCUUUGAUUUGUUCAAAUUUUACAGAAACGGUUAUAACACACUUUUCUUUGCAAGCUGGAUACGAAGAGAAAUAUGUUAAAUGGACGGAAGAAAAAAAAUAUUAGGUAAGUGUUAGCAAGUCUGUGCUGGAUGCAGUGCACGGCCACGCCAAAUCCACACUGGUUGAGGAGGUGGCUCUGCAACUUGGAGUCCGGCAUAACGAGCUCUUCAUCACAAUUAGCUUGAGAUGAUGCAAGCGUUCCUCAUGGCUGUCCAGGAUGAGAGAUACGAUGCACUGAUGUAGUUUUGUAACCAAUCAUGUCUUUACACAGGCUUGCUAACCUACAUGUCUUUUAUCAUGUAGUUUACUAUUUUUAGGUAAACUUUCAGAGAAAACACAUAGUCUAAUUUUAAGGUGAUUAUGUCUGAUUGGUCUAAGUAGAUGGCAAAAGCACAUAUAAUUAUACAUCAUGGAUUGCAUAUGGACGAGAAUUUUGCUUGAGCCUUUGCUGGUGAUUCGUAACAAAAUACUCGAUAGUGGUUUGGCAAAUAUAGGAUUAAGCAUUAGACACUUCAUAUCUGCCCUUAAUAUCAAGGAAACGAGAUACUGUUGUGACAUUUAUUUACCCUACAACUCUGUUAUUCAGCAAUGGUAGUACGAGUCUUGGUACUGUUAUUACCUUUGUAGUGGAUAUAAUUAUUCCUGAAUGCACACGACAUCCACUUUUCUUGUUAAUAACUCAUAAUUGUGUGCUACUUUUUUCAGUACUACCGUCAGGUACCUGUGUUCUCUACCUUGUUAACCAGUAUGUAUGUGUAUACAUUUUUGAAUGAUUAGUGAGCUAGACCAAGAAGUGAGCAACAAUGUUUAUAUAGCAGGAAUUGUUGUUUUAUGCCUAAUAUCACGAAAUUUACCUAAAUAAUGAGUCUCGCAUUGCUAUUGUGAAAUGUCAUAUGAUGCAUGUGUCACUGAAAGGUUGAAGUAUGUGUGUAGGGUCCUUAUUCAUAGAUGAUCUUGAGCCUGUAGGGUCCUUGUUCAUAGAUGAUCUUGAGCUGUGGAGCUAUAGGCUGUAACAUCACGACCGCUUGCAGCCAACAAAGAGUUGGUCCAGCCAUGCUUUCAGGAAAUAUUGCUCCUUUGUAUCCUUUUCGGUUCUCAUUCCCUUUGCUUGACCCAAUUGAACUUUUUGUAGGAAGUGGUUUGUUCUCGUAAGUAAUGUUGGAGAAGAUUCUAUAUUUGUAGUGAUCACAAGAUGAAAACAUCAUCGACCUAAAUCUAGCACCCGCAAUGGAAAUCACAUAGCAGCAAAAGAACUUUACCGUAUAAUAUAUGCCAACUUCACAUGAGGAUCAACAUACAAAGAUAACAAUUUAAAUCAUGUCUUGUCACAGGUAAGAUAUGUUGUUGUUGAUCGUCUAAAUGAUGCAACUACACAGUCAGAGUAUGAUCUCCAACAGACAAACAUAUAUUAUUGGAGCCUGGACGAUGAUAUUGAAGGAAUCUCUGCUUGAGGUAAUGAUGGACCGCCAAUGGAUAUUUAGGGCAUACAUAUCAACUGCUCUGGCUGAUGCUCAUCGGCUCAUAACUACAACCAUCUAUACGGUGUACCAAUACUAUGUAUCAGCAUGGGGUUCUCUUAAAACACUAUGUAUCAAAACUAAGUUUCUAUUUGCUUAUGCUCAUUGUAAAUUUCUUAGAACAGUAUGUGUCAGCACUACGAGAUCAAUAUAUGCUA